AGCUGGUAGGGAAUAAAAGGCAUCUUUUUAUUUUUAAAAGACCUUUUUCGGAAGGUAUGCUUAAAGAUGAGCUUGCGCCACAUUAGUUUGUUGGUGGGGUAAUGGCCUACCAAGACGAUGAUGUGUAGCUGGACUGAGAGGUCGAACAGCCACAUUGGGACUGAGACACGGCCCAAACUCCUACGGGAGGCAGCAGUAGGGAAUUUUCGGCAAUGGAGGAAACUCUGACCGAGCAACGCCGCGUGAACGAUGAAGUAUUUCGGUAUGUAAAGUUCUUUUAUUGAAGAAGAAAAAAUAGUGGAAAAACUAUCUUGACGUUAUUCAAUGAAUAAGCCCCGGCUAACUAUGUGCCAGCAGCCGCGGUAAGACAUAGGGGGCGAGCGUUAUCCGGAAUUAUUGGGCGUAAAGGGUGCGUAGGCGGUUAGGAAAGUCUAUAAUUUAAUUUCAGUGCUUAACGCUGUCUUGUUAUAGAAACUACCUUGACUAGAGUUAGAUAGAGGCAAGCGGAAUUCCAUGUGUAGCGGUAAAAUGUGUAAAUAUAUGGAGGAACACCAGAAGCGUAGGCGGCUUGCUGGGUCUUGACUGACGCUGAGGCACGAAAGCGUGGGUAGCAAACAGGAUUAGAUACCCUGGUAGUCCACGCCGUAAACGAUGAGUACUAAGUGUCGGGAUAAAACUCGGUACUGAAGUUAACACAUUAAGUACUCCGCCUGAGUAGUACGUACGCAAGUAUGAAACUUAAAGGAAUUGACGGGACUCCGCACAAGCGGUGGAUCAUGUUGUUUAAUUCGAAGAUACACGAAAAAUCUUACCAGGUCUUGACAUGCUCUGCAAAGCUAUAGAAAUAUAGUGGAGGUUAUCAGGGACACAGGUGGUGCAUGGUUGUCGUCAGUUCGUGUCGUGAGAUGUUAGGUUAAGUCCUAAAACGAGCGCAACCCUUGUCGUUAGUUACCAGCACGUAAUGGUGGGCACUUUAACGAGACUGCCAAUUAAACAUUGGAGGAAGGUGAGGAUUACGUCAAAUCAUCAUGCCCCUUAUGAUCUGGGCUACAAACGUGAUACAAUGGCUGUUACAAAGAGUAGCUGAAGCGCGAGUUUUUAGCCAAUCUCAAAAAAGCAGUCUCAGUUCGGAUUGAAGUCUGUAACUCGACUUCAUGAAGUUGGAAUCGCUAGUAAUCGCGAAUCAGCAUGUC
rnacentral:rRNA from 1 species